UACAAGUGCUGGCAAGCCACACUGUAUCUGCAUUGAACCGUUCAUUAGAACAGUAUAGUAUGCACUUUCUGCUAUGCUAGCUUAGUCACACAAGACAAUGGCCCGGUGAAGCCGGUGAUGGGAACCAGCCUUAACCAAUCAGAAUGAAGUAAACAGGUGUAUCAAUCAUAUAGUAAUAAGUAACCUGUGUGAUGUCAAUCAUGUAAUGCUGAGAACCAGUCUGUAAGAAAGAGAAUAAAAGCAGCGGUCUGGGACUAUACCAGGACGCCUCACUGCAACACCGUCUCUGUUUCCCGUUACUACAUCUGGUGACCCCGACGUGAUCCAGACACAAGACCCCCGACUCAUCGGCUGGCAUAGCCUUGGUGCACCUCAGCGCAGUGCGCUCCCUCAUUGCUGCAGUAUUACAACACAUUCGAACCCACAAGCCGACCCUUUUUAUCUAGAGCCCAGCGCCAUUAUAGACAGACCGAGC